CCCUUGUGGUUGAUAUAAAAGUUUAACACAGCCAGAUAUAGCUACCUUUUAACCCAGCACUCGGGAGACAGAGGCAGGUAGUUCUGAGUUUAAAGCUAGUCUGGUCUACCGAGGUCGUUCCAUGACAGCCAGGGCUACACAGAGACCCUACCUCAAAAACAAAACAAGCCAGAAGUCAGUUGUACCUAUCACAUGCCUGUCACCAUCGUGCUGGGGGUGGAGGCAUUGGAGACAUUGGGUCUUGCUGGUUGGCAGGUUCAGGAAGAGACCUUGUCUCAAAGUAAUAAGGCAGAGUGACAUACAGGUUACUGUUAUCUUUCUCUUGAUUCUACACAUCCACAGAAGGAUGGAAGAAUAUACCCAACACACACUCAUGUGCAUACACCAUACACACACACCACACACUCAUGUACACAUACACACACACAAAUCACAAUGAAAAACGGAUUCAUAAUAAAAAUAUAUUGUAUCAAAACUUGAAGAAUUUUAGUUGGACCUAAUGGCUGAACAGAAAAAUGAACAGACAAUAUGAUAAAACAAAUAUAGAAAAAAUGUUAGUGGUAGAUUCUAGGAAUUGAGCAUUAAGUGCUCUCUGAAGAAUCUUCUCACUUUGCUGAGUGUCUUAAUCUAAUUAAAUUUGCUAAAUAUGGCAACUUUAGACACGUGUACUGAAGCUAUAUAAAAUUAGUUGGCAUUAAGGGAAACAGUGGAAGAUACACAAGAAUGCUAUCUUUGAAACUUUUCUAUAAAUAUAAAAUUAUUUAAAAAUAAAGACUUUAAAAUUAAGUUUUAAUAUAUUUUAAUAACAUAAGAGAUUGUUACAUUAAAAACUCAGCUGUGUUUUUACUAGGACAUCAUUUUUAAUAAAAUUUACUGUUAGGUGGUAAAAAGUUAACAAAAUAUUAAAUAGUGAUUAUUACUGGGUGAAAUACUUGUCAAAGUUCUAACUUUUAUAAUGAACAUACUAUUUUUAAUAAUUUAAAAGUUUAAAACAAUAAAUGCACACAUCACCUGUGUAUUUAUGCCAAUGGAAAGAUGUCAGGAAAUGAACAUAUAAAUAUAGGAGGAAUGUAAGAUUAGGAAGAGAGCUUUACUGGUAACAAUCACACAGCUUUACAGAACAGACUCCUGAGACUGAGAUCCACACAUGGUCACAGGCAGCUCCUGCUUUCAGAAUGGAAAGGAGGGAGCGUAAGCGACAGAGAGAGCAGAAUAUCGCCCCCAGCAAGAGGACCACAUCACCGAUCUCAUAAUGAUCUUCUCUGUCUACUCACUACUAUAGUUCCAUGGCAACUGGCAACCACAGAAUAUUAAGGAAAGAUGCUGAAAGAAAAUUUGGAGAGCUACUCGGGGAAGGAAGAAAACUCAGGCAAGCCAAAUUCGACAUGCUAAAGCAAAGGAAGACCUGCACACUAGAGCCAGCUCCCUUUGUCAAAGUUUGACACAAAUGAGGAGGGGAAAGGCAUGUGAUUUACUAAUGUGUAUUCUCAGUGUAAGAACUCUAAAUGGGGGGUUGGGGAUUUGGCUCAGUGGCGCAAGGCCCUGGGUUCGGUCCCCAGCUCCAAAAAGAGAAAAGAAAAAAAAAAAAAAAUAAAAAGAACUCUAAAUGGAUGGUCCUUUCAACACUAAAUAGCCAACUUUUUUUUUUUUUAAGAUUUAUUUAUUUUAUGUGAGUACACUGUAGCUGUCUUCAGACACACCAGAAGAGGGCAUCAGAUCUCAUUACAGAUGGUUGUGAGCCACCAUGUGGUUGCUGGGAUUUGAACUCAGGACCUUUGGAAGAGCAGCCAGAGCUCUUAACCGCUGAGCCAUCUCUCCAGCCCAAUAGCCAACUUUUAUGCAAAAGACUUACAAAGGUUCCUGGUCAAAACAUUUUAUCAAGCCAGGCAUAGUGGCACAAGCCUGUAAACCUGGCAUUUAGGAAAGGCAAUAUGAUCAAGUAUUCAAAGGCAGCCUGGGCUACACUGUAAUUUCAAUAGCAUGAGUUUCAUAAUAAGACCCUGCUUCAAAACCAAAACAAGAAAAUCAUCUCAAAUAAGGGUCUCUUGAAAGUAAAAUCAUUCCAGCACUUAGGAGCUCAUGGGGGGACAUAUUUUUUUUAAUUGAAGGCCAACAUGGGCUACAUAAUAAGGCCAUGUCUCACAUAUAAAUAAGCAUUUGAACCACGUUAUAUUGGGUGUGGCACAUUUUAUAUUCCUGAAAGCUAUUAUUUAUCACCAGGCUUUAAUGAAGUCAUUAAACCGAUUAAAGUCAUAAAACACAAGGAGUUUAAGGUGAUACUAAAAAGGAAUUUUUAUUUCUUUCUAUGCCAAACAAAAAUAGUUUAGCUUUAACUAAAAAAAAAGUUCUGUUGGGGCUCUAGAAAGAUAGCUCAGUGGUUAAGAGCACUGACUGCUCUUCCAGAGGUCCUGAGUUCAAUUCCCAGCAACCACAUGGUGGCUCACAACCAUCUGUAAUGGGAUCUGAUGCCCUCUUCUUUUUUUUUUUUUUUUUAAGAUUUUAUUUAUUCAUUUUAUAUAUGAGUACACUGUCACUGUCUUCAGACACACCAGAAGAGGGCAUCAGUUCUCAUUACAGAUGGUUGUGAGCCACCAUGUGGUUGCUGGGAUUUGAACUCAUGACCUCUGGAAGAGCAGUCAGUGCUCUUAACCACUGAGCCAUCUCUCCAGCCCCUGAUGCCCUCUUCUUGUGUUGUAAAGACACCUAUAGUGUACUCAUGUAAAUAAACUAAAUAAAUCUUUUUAAAAAUAGUUCUAUUAUUCAUAGAUUUUAAUGAAAAUGGUCAUCUUCAUCAUGAAAAUGAAACUGACCACAUUAUUAGUGUUAAAGGAAAUAGCAAAAUGGUGUCUGCCACUGCUCAGCUACAGGGUGGAGAAUAUAGUGUCUCCCUUUCUUUUUUCUUACACCAAACAAUAUCACCAAUCACACGAAUAUUACCAUAAAUUAUUAACUUCUUCUCAAACAAGUCCCUGGUCACUCCUAGGAAAGGUAGGGUACAAGAGUUGGGUGGUAAUAUAAUUAAGAAAUUUAAGCAGGGCCAGAUGUGGUUCAUAAAAUCCUUAACCUGACCAUUCAGUAUUUUAACCAUAUUACUUUAAGGUGUUGAAUAUAAAACUGAGAUGGAGUUUCAAAUAUAAACAUGAAGUAGGUUUAAGACUCUCAGUACCUUAGGUGGUUAAAGACCAAAAUCUGGGAGAUACCUUGCUUAUAAUUGGACUUUAACCAGGAAUUCGGGAUACUAGCUUGAACAACUGUUUACAAUCUUGUUUGACUGAUAACAGGAAUUGACAUCGUGUGGUUCGUUUUAAGUACAAAACAAUGUGACCUUAAGUGGCAUCAGAGAAACUACUAAAACUAAAACUAGAUGCCACCACAUUGCAUGUCAGUUACUAAAGUUAGGAUGUAUACACUUAGUCUUCUAACAGUCUUUCUUCUUAAUUAAUUCUGUUCGACUAAUUAACGGCUUUCAGAGAUCUAUCAACCUAACUACAGCUGCUAAGCCCAGGUUGACCUUACUUAAUAAGAAGCCUAAACAGUUCUUCAAUGAAACUUGCCUGGUCCCAUCAGGUUCUAACUAUUCCUUAAGCUCUUGUUUUCAAGUACUUGGGUGACUGAUAAAGCCCUUGGUGACGCAUGUCUUCUUCUCCAUCCCUAGAAAAGUCUACUUUCUAUCCCAGCUCAUCCAUCAGACCGCUAAAGUCUUUACUUAGAAAUGAAGCUCACAGUCAUCAUUCCACUUUGUUUCAGAGGCCUCUAGUUAACUCGUGAGGAAUGGGCGUCUCCUUAACCUCUAUCAAGGACCUCAGUUUUCUUACCUACAAAAACAAGAGCAUCUGGCUCAUCCGGCAAGGUAGUCUGCCUAAUCACAGUGAUCAGGACGCUAAGCCAGGACAAACCCACGUUUAAGAUAUCCGCCUCCAAAAAGAACUAAACAAAGAGAAAAAUGGAGAUUUGAAGGUUGCUUUUUGUUUGUUUUUUUAUCCCAAUUUCAUCUCAAUUCCAGUUCUACUCAGUGCAGUACAAAAAUAGUAAAAUUCAAAAUAUUA